rfam:Fibrobacter sp. TWOS genome assembly, contig: Ga0136287_170
UGAGCUGGUCGAAAGACCCAGGUUCAACCUAACUCGGCGGGCAGACUGUCC